GCAGGUAUCGUAUAAUGGUUAUUAUGUCGCCUUCCCAAGGCGAAGAUACGAGUUCGAUUCUCGCUACCUGCUCCA
rnacentral:tRNA from 1 species